rnacentral:rRNA from 1 species
GACGAACCGUGCGAACGUUAUUCGGAAUCACUGGGCUUAAAGCGCGUGUAGGCGGGACGGCACGUUCGGUCGCUGAAAGCCCCCCGGCUCAACCGGGGAACGGGCGCCGAUACGACCGCCCUCGAGGAACGUAGGGGGACCUGGAACUUCCGGUGGAGCGGUGAAAUGCGUUGAGAUCGGAAGGAACGCCCGUGGCGAAAGCGAGGUCCUGGACGUUUACUGACGCUGAGACGCGAAAGCCAGGGGAGCGAAACGGG